rnacentral:rRNA from 1 species
GACGAACGCUGGCGGCGUGCUUAACACAUGCAAGUCGAACGGAAAGGCCCUGCUUUUUUGGUGUUCUCGUGUGGCACACGCGUGUGUAACACGUGUAUAACGUGCCCUACUCUUUGGGAUAACUUCAGGAAACUGUGGCUAAUCCCGUAUCGGAGCUCACCCUGCGUUGUGGGGGUUGGAAAUUUUCGGCUGUUGGGGAUGGACUCGCGGCUUAUCAGCUUGUUGGUGGGGUAGUGGCUUACCAAGGCGUCGACGGGUAGCCGGCCUGAGAGGGUGACCGGCCACACUGGGACUGAGAGACGGCCCAGACUCCUACGGGAGGCAGCAGUGGGGAAUAUUGCACAAUGGGCGGAAGCCUGAUGCAGCAACGCCGCGUGCGGGAUGACGGCCUUCGGGUUGUAAACCGCUUUCGGUUGUGACGAAGCGUGAGUGACGGUACCGGGAAAAGAAGCACCGGCUAACUACGUG